rnacentral:rRNA from 1 species
CACGUAGGGGCCAAGCGUUGUCCGGAUUUAUUGGGCGUAAAGAGCUCGUAGGCGGUUCAGCAAGUCGGGUGUGAAAACUCUGGGCUCAACCCAGAGACGCCAUCCGAUACUGCUGUGACUAGAGUCCGGUAGGGGAGUGGGGAAUUCCUGGUGUAGCGGUGAAAUGCACAGAUAUCAGGAGGAACACCGGUGGCGAAGGCGGAUCUCUGGGCCGAUACUGACGCUGAGGAGCGAAAGCGUGGGGAGCGAACAGG